rnacentral:rRNA from 1 species
AUAACGACUCUCGGCAACGGAUAUCUCGGCUCUCGCAUCGAUGAAGAACGCAGCGAAAUGCGAUACYUGGUGUGAAUUGCAGAAUCCCGUGAAUCAUCGAGUCUUUGAACGCAAGUUGCGCCCAAGACCAUUCGGUCGAGGGCACGCCUGCCUGGGCGUCACG